UGAGGAAUAUUGGACAAUGGGUGAGAGCCUGAUCCAGCCAUCCCGCGUGAAGGAUGACGGUCCUAUGGAUUGUAAACUUCUUUUGUACAGGGAUAAACCUACUCUCGUGAGGGUAGCUGAAGGUACUGUACGAAUAAGCACCGGCUAACUCCAUGCCAGCAGCCGCGGUAAUACGGAGGGUGCAAGCGUUAUCCGGAUUUAUUGGGUUUAAAGGGUCCGUAGGCGGACUUGUAAGUCAGUGGUGAAAUCUCAUAGCUUAACUAUGAAACUGCCAUUGAUACUGCAGGUCUUGAGUAAAUUUGAAGUGGCUGGAAUAAGUAGUGUAGCGGUGAAAUGCAUAGAUAUUACUUAGAACACCAAUUGCGAAGGCAGGUCACUAAGAUUUAACUGACGCUGAUGGACGAAAGCGUGGGGAGCGAACA
rnacentral:rRNA from 1 species